rnacentral:rRNA from 1 species
CGUGUAGGCGGGAAUACAAGUCAGAUGUGAAAUACUGCGGCUCAACUGCAGAACGGCAUCUGAAACUGUAUUUCUUGAGUACUGGAGAGGAAAGCGGAAUUCCUAGUGUAGCGGUGAAAUGCGUAGAUAUUAGGAGGAACACCGGUGGCGAAGGCGGCUUUCUGGACAGUAACUGACGCUGAGACGCGAAAGCGUGGGGAGCAAACAGGAUUAGAUACCCUGGUAGUCCC